AGAGUGUGUGAGUGUAUAUGUGCACAGUUCUGAGAAGUUGAGACGUUUUGAAUUGGCCGAUUUGGUACCUACAGCUGAGGAAUAGUCCCAUCUCCACAUUAAAUAUCUCUGCAAGUUGAUAGGUCCAAUAUUUUGGGAGAUAUUAGUACUUUUGGAAU